rnacentral:rRNA from 1 species
GAUGAACGCUGGCGGCGUGCCUAAUACAUGCAAGUAGAACGCUGAAGGAAGGAGCUUGCUCUUUCCGGAUGAGUUGCGAACGGGUGAGUAACGCGUAGGUAACCUGCCUGGUAGCGGGGGAUAACUAUUGGAAACGAUAGCUAAUACCGCAUAACAGUAGAUGUUGCAUGAUAUCUACUUAAAAGGUGCAAUUGCACCACUACCAGAUGGACUUGCGUUGUAUUAGCUAGUUGGUGAGGUAACGGCUCACCAAGGCGACGAUACAUAGCCGACCUGAGAGGGUGAUCGGCCACACUGGGACUGAGACACGGCCCAAACUCCUACGGGAGGCAGCAGUAGGGAAUCUUCGGCAAUGGACGGAAGUCUGACCGAGCAACGCCGCGGGAGUUAAGAAGGGUUUCGGAUCGUAAAAAUCUGUUGUAAGAGAAGAACGAGUGUGAUAGUUAAAAGUUCACACUGUGACGGUACCUAACCAGAAAGGGACGGCUAACUACGUG